CCUUUGUACACACCGCCCGUCGCUACUACCGAUUGAAUGGCUUAGUGAGGCCCUCGAAUUGAGGUUCGGAGACUGGCAACAGUUUCUGUUCUUUGAGAAGUUGGUCAAACUUGGUCAUUUAGAGG
rnacentral:rRNA from 1 species